UGGAGCUAAAACUGAUGUUGUGGAUAAAGAUUGUGAAACGCUAUUACAUUGUGCUAGUGAAUUUAGUAAAAUUGAAAUGCUUAAAUUUUGGAUUAAGAGAGGAGAUUAUGACAUAAAUGUUUUAAAUAAAAAAAACAGACCUCCAUUUUUCAAUGCAGUUAAGAGUGGUAGUAUUGAAGCUGUUGAUAUCCUAUUAAUUAAUGGAGC